rnacentral:rRNA from 1 species
GACGAACGCUGGCGGCGUGCUUAACACAUGCAAGUCGAACGGAAAGGCCCUGCUUUUGUGGGGUGCUCGAGUGGCGAACGGGUGAGUAACACGUGAGUAACCUGCCCUUGACUUUGGGAUAACUUCAGGAAACUGGGGCUAAUACCGGAUAGGAGCUCCUGCUGCAUGGUGGGGGUUGGAAAGUUUCGGCGGUUGGGGAUGGACUCGCGGCUUAUCAGCUUGUUGGGGGGGUAGUGGCUUACCAAGGAUUUGACGGGUAGCCGGCCUGAGAGGGUGACCGGCAAAAUGGGAACUGAGAUAGGGCCAAGACUCACAGGGGGGGAAGAGGUGGGGAAAAUUGAAAAAGGGGCGAAAGCCUGAUGCAGAAACGCGGGGGGGGGGAAGAGGGCUUUGGGGUUGAAAAACGCUUUCGCCUGGGAGGAGGGGUAGGGAACGGAAAGGGGUAAAGAAGCACCGGCUAACUACGG